CAAACAGGUUGGACUAUAUUACAUUCCACCAGCAAUAGGAGAGCUCCAGUUCUUCCCAUCCUUGCCAACACAAGAAACAAAUAAACUGAAGCACCAAGAGCAGCUGAGGUGACCAUGGAUUACUCUGAGACACUUUACUCCAUGCCGAGGAAGAAGACUCCCACCAACCAGGGAUUCUGGGUGGCGAGAAUAAGCAGACGUUUCCUGCCAGCUUGAUUUGGACA